AGUGUUCAAGCUUGUAUGGAACCACCUUAUUCCAUCCCGAACUAAGAAGUGAAACGUACAAGGAACGACAAUACUUGGAGGGAGACCUCCUGGGAAAAU
rnacentral:rRNA from 1 species